GUCUACGGCCAUACCACCCUGAACGCGCCCGAUCUCGUCUGAUCUCGGAAGCUAAGCAGGGUCAGGCCUGGUUAGUACUGGCUAGUACUUGGAUGGGAGAAACACGCACACGCACUCC
ensembl:rRNA 5S_rRNA 5S ribosomal RNA